rnacentral:rRNA from 1 species
UAAAUUAGUAAAAGUUAAAUUCUCAAAAAUUAAAGAUUUUGGCGGUAUUUUAGUCUAUUCAGAGGAACUUGUUCUAUAAUUGAUAAUCCACGAUUAAUCAUACUUAUUUUAAAUAAUUUGUAUAUCGCCGUGAUUGAAUAUUUUAUAAGAAGUUUAAUAUUCAAAAUUUUUAAUAAGAGAUUAAUUCAGAUCAAGGUGCAGUUUAUAAAUAAGAAAGUAAUGAGUUACAAUAAAUUUAAUUAUAUGGAUUUAAAUUUGGAAUAAUUUAAUGAAGGUGGAUUUGAAGGUAAUUUAGUUUAUUUAAAUUAAAUGAUUUUUGCUCUAAAAUAUGUACACAUCGCCCGUC